ACCAGCCAACCAACAAUACUUGCCUUCCGUCCUACCAUCAGCGUACUAUCAGAUGGAUUAAGGCAGGAAGUUAGACUCAGGAUUGAAGAGUUGAGAAGACCCAUUAAAUUAAGUCAGAUACUACAGUUCCCUAAAAGAGGACUGUUUGAUUGCUGACCUGGUAGAAGAAUGAUGAACAGGAGAGCCAUAGCCAAUUUCCAUUGUUAAUGGCCCAGUCCGAAUCUAUCAGUAGCCUUUCGAAGACGUCACGGCCUUGCUCCCAGUGGAUGUACUUCAUGUCAAAGACAAGUUGACAAAUUGAGGCACCAUGGAGAACAGAAAAACAAGGCACUCAGAUAGGCAUAAAGUUGUUGCACGUUUUUCAGGGCAAACCUGAAUCAUGAUGGCAUCAAUCCAUGGAUAUCCUGUCCGGCCAUCUCUCCAUGCAACAAACAGCUCCUCGUUCUCUAUCCAUGGGAUCUGGACUAAAAGGGACUCCGAUUAUGAUAAGAAGAGGGUUGCAGAUAGAAAAGGAGGUGAUUGGAUGAGCAGACCUGUUUGCAUAUUUUGUUCCCUUCCAUCUGAUCGAAAUUAGGAGUGCCAAAAGACACUGUGUAGAAGAAAUCCCUCCACAGCAACUGUCAAAAGAAGCAGAAGUCUACAAUUAAGGUUUUUUUGCCUUCAGAACAAACUGACCAAUGCAGUUACAAAUGAACUCACCUGGCCAGCCAACGAAACAGGUGGUUUUGUAUGCGUUUUGGUACUCCUGUAGACAUCUUGAAUGCAGUGGUAAAAGUACCUCGCCGACAGGCAACCGAACUGACAUAACGAACCAUUUCAA